ensembl:lncRNA
CAGGGACAUCUCAUAACAAAAGUCAUGAGAAACUGCAUUUUACAGAUCCUCUCUGAUAGAAUUUUUCUUCCUAGACUUUACUUGGUUACAACUGGUAAUAGCAGCUCAGGUUGGCUGGCUUCUGUUUCAAUCACCACAGGACUGGGGAAUCCUCUAACUUCAGCCACAUGGGAAAGAGAAAUGAAGUUCACCAUAUCUCACAGUAAUAUGAAUUUUGCCAAAUUUCAUGGGAACAGACAGCUAAAUGAAGGUGUACUUUUGAGGCUUUCAGGAGACUUUUGGGUAAAUUCAGCUGUGAUAAGAGCAUCCACACAGGAAUGUAUUCCUCAAAAUGAAAAUCUUCGCCACAGUUUUUGUGAUGACAACAGAUAGACCUGUAUCUAAAUGGACCUGUGGGAGAGACAGGAGAGAUCAACAUACUGCGGGAGUUCACUUUCAAGGAAAGGCCAAACUCUUGCUGCA